rnacentral:rRNA from 1 species
GAUGAACGCUGGCGGCGUGCCUAAUACAUGCAAGUAGAACGCUGAAGGAAGGAGCUUGCUCUUUCCGGAUGAGUUGCGAACGGGUGAGUAACGCGUAGGUAACCUGCCUGGUAGCGGGGGAUAACUAUUGGAAACGAUAGCUAAUACCGCAUAACAGUAGAUGUUGCAUGAUAUCUACUUAAAAGGUGCAAUUGCACCACUACCAGAUGGACCUGCGUUGUAUUAGCUAGUUGGUGAGGUAACGGCUCACCAAGGCGACGAUACAUAGCCGACCUGAGAGGGUGAGCGGCCAGACUGAGACUGUGACAGGGCACAGACGGCUUGAGGAGGCAGCAGGAGUGAAUCGGCGGCAAUGGACGGAAGACUGUGCGAGCAACGCCGCGUGAGUGAAGAGGGUUGUCGGGUCGGAAAGCUCGGUUGUAAGAGAAGAACGAGUGUGAGAGUGGGAAGUUCACACUGUGACGGUAUCUUACCAGAAAGGGACGGCUAACUACGUG